UCUAUAUUUAAAAAUUUUUAGUUUUUAAUUAUAUAUUCCACGUAAAAGGGAUAUAAAAAAGAGGGUGAAUAGUAUAUCCCAUCACUUAUCAUAUCCCAUAUUUGGUUGAACAUAGGAUAUGAUAAAUGAGGGGAUAACUUAUCCUAUCCCAUUACCAACUAAAUAUGAGAUAAGAUAUGUUAUCUCUCCUCUUAUUCUAUCUCAUGCUAUAUCCGACCAACCAAACAUGACCUUAGGAUUUUUGAGUUGUUUAAAGUUUUUAGUUUCUAUCAAUUUCUUGGUCGUUCACAUUGCGAUUAUCUUUGAGGUGGGUAGAAUCUUAACAUGAGAGAUUUAAUUUGUUUUUCUUAAAUAUCAUCUUAAUAAAAUUUUUUGAAAUGAUUUCUAUUAUAGUAAAUUGUUUUAUAUUUAUAAUUCUUGGGCAGCAUUUGAUAAUUGAUUUUUUCUAAUAUGAUCAAUUUAUUAUGUAUUUUUAGAUAUACGUUCAGUGAUUUUAUUAUCUUAAUAAACCAUGUUAUAAAUUGAAUUACUGAAUAUUGAUUCCCCUGUCAAUAUGGAGAAAGUAUAAAGAUAUUUUAUUGAUUAUCAGUAUUUGGACACUGAUUAUUGUUAGUUAAGUCCAACAUUUCUUACUUAAUAUAUUAGUGAUAUCUGUAUAUGUACAUGUUUGAUGUUUGGGCACUUAUCCCAUGCUUUUUAUUAAUAUUUGGUUACUUAGUCCUGAUGGAUAUUGAUGGUUAGACCUUAGUUGGUGGAGGUGAAGGGGCUUCCCCAUGCAGGAUAUUUUAGCAAUAAACCAUUGAUUUUGAAGAUGAGCAUGUUUAAGAAUUAUGACGAUGGUUUUUUGCAUCUGCUUUUUUCAGAAAUGAAAUUUGAGAAACAGUUGAUUGAUUGCUACAUUGUUAGCAAUCUUUAUGUCUUGGUUCUAUUGCUUAGGCUGCUUAGUUCAAAUGCUUAUUUUAAGGUAUGGAAUUGACAAUUUAGGUCAUUUUAUGGUUGAGGAUGCGAUAGAGUGUGAUUUUUGUCCAGUGUUAGAGCAUUCUUUGUUGGAACAGUUUGUUCUUUCAUAAUUUUAAUGUUUUACUUUAAUUACUGUUGGUUGUAUUUAUUAUAUCUUGUUUCCAUUGUAUAAUUUAUUCUGUUAUUUCAGUUGAUGUUCAGUUUGUUUCUGUUUUGCUUAUCUGUAUGUUUGUGCCUUUGAUUAGCUUUGUGUAUUAACUGAGCUUAGCUUGGGAUAGGCAUGUCCAUCGCAUAUCUUUGGAUUUGGGCCGUGACAGGAGUAUCAGUGGAUCAUCUUUUUCUUCUUUGUCCAUUUGUGUGCGAGGCCCUCUGGCAUGUAUCAAUUCUCUUUUACUUUGGUCGAUUUAGUUGGGGAGAAACACCAGAAUCUUUGAGGAUAUAAAGGCUCUUGAAGUUUUUAUGGGGAGAGAUCUGUUACUUUUUCCUUUUAUAGGUAUCAUGUUCUUGACAGUUCAUUGGUACUCUGUUGAGUGUGAUUAUGUUGUGCUGGGUUUCUGAACUGCUAUGCAUCUAGGAAUUGUCUCCCCAUGCCCCUGGGUUUCUGGAGCUGAAGUUUUGAUGGGUGCUCUCUAGGUAUCAUGGAAAUAUGGAAUGGCUAGGAUAGGUGGAGCAUAUCAUGAUUAUGGAUUGAUAUGGUUAGAACUAAUUCUAGUCCAGCGGUUGCUGGUUUUCUGGAGGUAAAGGGACUUGCAUUCAUGAAGGCUUGAUUCUGGAAAAGACUUGUGGCUUUGAUAACUUUUCAGCUAUUGAUUAUUAAGCCUUAUUCAUCCUAGGCCUCAGAGGAAAAGAGGGCAUUGGAAAUUGGAUUCUUUGUUGCAGAAAAUCUUUGGCUUCUCUUCUAAGUGGAUUGCCCCUUCAGAUUAAUUUCUUGCUUAGCUAACCAAUCAACUGAUUAAUUGGCUAAGUGACUUUCUUUUAAACUAUGGGUUUUGGAAGAGAAGUGUAUGCUUGUUUAAGAGGUUCUGUAUCUCUUUAUAUAUUUAUUUUUGAUGGGUGAGGUUCUCUAUCUCUUCAUAUGACUUCUGUUCUCUGUUUUUUCUUUCUCUGAGGCUCACCUACAUUUUUUAUUUUACAUUCUAAAGGAUAACUUGUCCUUCUUUUUUGUCUUCUACUUCAUCUUCCUCUCUUUUCUAUUUUUACUUUUAGUUAAGAUUGCAAUUAAUUUUGUUCUUGAGCGUAGUGGGGCUUAAGUUAAGGUGCCUUACAUUAAUAUAUGAUUGAUCAAUUUGCUUAUUAAAAAGUAUUGAUCUUGUUUGCAAGUUAAAAAAAAAGAAGAAUAUUUAAGUUACUAAAGGAUGAGCAUCAUAAAUUGCCAACUAUUAUUAAUAUUUUCAUAUAUUUUGAAGCAAUUUAGUGGACAUUAAAAGCCUUAAGUAGCCAAGUCGCACUUUCCCUCUAUGCAGCUCUUCAAGCUUCAUGUGAUGUUUUGUAGGUAUUUCCUUUCAAGAUCUUAAACCCGGAUGAGUUCGAUAAUUUUGAGUGUUGUGACUAUUUUAGAGAGGUCAAGAAUGUUACACAAAGGUUUGGUAGCAAGAACUAAGUAGCACGAUAAGCAGAAGCUCACAUAACUCCACAAACCUGAUUUCAACCAAUUUGGUGUUUGCUAUCAGUUUAAGGGUCUAGAGGUGUCCAAAUGAGUGAAAUAGUUUUGAAAAAUCUUAUGCUCCUUGAAGAACAAAUUUGUCAACUUUAAUCAAAUUCUGAGGUUGUUUGCCCAAUCAGAUAAAUCACACAAGUUGGAGCAAAAUUCAGAAAACCUGCUGAAGCUAAAGGAAGUGAUUUUGAGCUUGACCUGAGAAGGCCCAAAUACCCUUAAAAAGACCCAAAGCCUCUUCCUAUUGGCUUAGGUUUUCAAGAGGACCCAUUUGGCUGAGAAGGGGACUCUUUCACACGUUUGAUGGGAGGAAUGAGGCAUACAAAGGGAGAGAAGAGUGGCAGCCAACUAGUUUUUUCGUUCAGUACAUUUAUGAAGAUUUCUUUGAGGGUUUUUUCCCCAAUCUUUACUUGAAUGGUGUUAAAAACUUGAUUAUCUUUGAUCUAGAACUUUUAGGUUUGCUUCUUAGACUUUAUUUUACUCUGUUUAAUAUGCAAGAACUCAAUUUUGGAUUGUCUAAUUCAACACAAUUUAUAAAGAUUCAAUAUUUUUAGGUCUAAUGAUUGCUUUCCAAUGCCCCUCCAUGCUUGGUUAAGUUAUUGGCUAUGAGGUUGACCAUGGGAUUCCAAACAUGAGAUUUGAAGUGUCCAAACAUAGAGAAUUAAUUAUCCCCAGAUCUUGUUUGUUAGAUUGCUUGGAGAAUUUAGAAAGUUAACUCUUUUCUUGUGCCUAAAUAGCUACUUUGCUAGAUAUGUGUCGAUAUCCCUACUUCUUAGCACUUGUGUUGAGAAAGUCUCUGUUUUAAUACUUGGUAAUAAUUAGGGUGGGAACUGCUUGGAGCAGCUGGGCUGUCCAGUGCAUUUGCAGCAAUGAGGUAUUUGAAAUGCCAAAAAAAAAAAAAAAAAAAAAAAACGAAGAAGGAAAAAAAAGGGAGAAAUCAGAGUCAAGGUCAUGUAAUUGAGUUUUAUGUUUGUUUCUGUAUAAUUUAGUAUACAAAAUUCUCACUGCAUAUUGGCAUUAUACAGAAAACUCUCUAAUGUUGACAUAAGUUUUUUGCUUAAUCUUUCAUUGAUUGGAUCAAGAAACUUGGAAAAGCAUUUGUUUGUUGAUUGUUCUGUUUGUUUCUUUUCUGCAAUUUUAAUACCAAACUUGGCAUAAAUACGGAGGCUAAAUUUUCUAACUUCAUCUAAACUGAACUUAGCAGGUAAAAAAACAGAACAAAGAAAAAAUUGUACACAUGAGCUGUAUCACUUAAUACAACCAAUAGAAUUUGUACUCUGGUUGCAAAUCUAACAAAAUACUUGAAUCCUUUUUAAGCCUCCACGAAUCUCAAGAAGUCUGAUUUAUCAUUUUGAUUGUUCAAUUCUCUUAAUGGAAUACUUUAGCUCCUGUUGAAUAUUCAUUCUUGAAGGUGACAAAACAAUGUCCUUCCAAACUGACCCAGCUUGCGAUGCUGGGUUUGGGCACUUGUAUAGUUCGGAUAUUGAGUUCGCUUCAUCAUUCAACAUGGCUACUGCCUUUAAACAGCUUAUCUCAUCUGGAUCAACCAGCAAAUUCCUUUCUCUGUCUUUCCAUCCUAUCAGCUUCACAAACAUUAUUGUGUCAGUAUCACGUAUUUAAUGAAACAUUAGCAGUAUGAGUAUGAGCUACUCGUUGGUAGAAGUUUUGGCCAAGGUUCCAUUCCUGAAUGUCAUACCUAAUUACGGGUUAACUGGGUUACUUAGUUCCUAUAAAAUUUCCAUCUAGGCCUGUCAAGGUCUUUACUAGGCUUGUUUAUGUUAACCUUAAAUUGGCCCCUGUUCAGGUUCAUUACAGUUUUGAUGGGUUCAGCCUUAAUUGAGCUUAGUUACAUACUGUGAGCUGCUAGGAUAUGAAGUUUACCACAAGCUAUGGAAGAAAUCUAUAAGCUGUACAGGCAUAUAUCUGUUCGAGGUAUUGAUGCCCACACUAGCUGAAAUCAUAGUUUAAUAAGCCAAAUGAGCUUCAUUUAAGUGCAUAUGUUGUAAUUGAGUAUGCUAUAGCUCAGAGCCUCAUUUCUAUGAAUUCUGUUUUAUUGUUUGUUACCUGAAGAUGCAACUUAGAAAACUGAAGAAAAGGGAAGAAUGAAGAAAGAGGAGUUAGUAGUGGAUGUACCUUAGGUGGGCCUUCCAAAGCAUUUGUGCAAUAUAGCCUGGCAUUGUCAACCAAUUGGCAGUAUGUUGUAAAUGCAUUUGCAAAUCUCUUGUGGGAUUUCAACUGUGACUUCACCCUGACAGCUCUUCUAGUUAAGAUAGCUCUCCUUUAAGAACUCCCAACAUCCGCAUUAAUACAUCAGUAUACAAGAAAAAUGACUUUUUUCCCUUAUUUUGAACAUGAAAAGUAGAAUAUAAUACCCAUCAAACAGUAAGUAGUUUGUAGCAUACCUUAUGCCUCUAAUAACUGCUAGAUAAGCAUCACAAACAACUCCAACCAGCUCUAUCCUGUAUGGUUUUCUCUUUUUUCCCCCGACUUUUUCUUGUUCUUCUUCAACCUGUUCCCAGUAGUUUUCAGUUACAGUUCCGUCUUCCGCUACCCUGUAACCAACUCCCAUGCGGUAACGGCGGCGGUGGACGUUCCUGGCCAUGGUUAUCGUCUGCACAACAAAGGGUACCCAGGAGAGUGUUCCAUCCAUUAUCACAUCCCGCCCUUCAUUUAGUGCUGUCACCAAGAGGGAUGAUGCUGCAUCGGUAGAUGACUGGUGCACCUGUUUGGUAUCAGAGACAAAAAGGAUAUUCAAAACUCAAGAAUGCAGUCGGGGAAUGGACCAAGUUUAGAAGGGGGAAUUGAAGGAGAAAAUUCAAAUCAUAUCAAACCAUGUAUGAAAGGACUCAUCCACAGGAUAUUCUCAGUUUUUUGGAGGUUGCUGACGAAAUUGGAAGAGGUGGUUUGCUACCUCAGAUUGGUAACUCAUGAAAAUAGAGUAGCAGUUGAUUACCUAGUCAGAAUUAACAUCUGCAUCUGCAUCAGCAUCAGCAUCAGCAUCAGACUCCAUCACAAGUAUUUUCUAAAAUUUAUGACACAACUCAAAAGUU